UGAUAAUUAGUUUAACCUAAAACAAGUGAUUUCGACUCACUAAACUAUGAUCAAACUCAUAAUUAUCAA
rnacentral:tRNA from 1 species